AACGAACGCUGGCGGCAUGCCUAACACAUGCAAGUCGAACGAGACCUUCGGGUCUAGUGGCGCACGGGUGCGUAACGCGUGGGAACCUGCCCUUAGGUUCGGAAUAACUCCCCGACAGGGGUGCUAAUACCGGAUAAUGUCUUCGGACCAAAGAUUUAUCGCCUUUGGAUGGGCCCGCGUUGGAUUAGCUAGUUGGUAGGGUAAAAGCCUACCAAGGCGACGAUCCAUAGCUGGUCUGAGAGGAUGAUCAGCCACACUGGGACUGAGACACGGCCCAGACUCCUACGGAAGGCAGCAGUGGGGAAUAUUGGACAAUGGGCGAAAGGCUGAUCCAGCAAUGCCGCGUGAGUGAUGAAGGCAUUAGGGUUGUAAAGCUCUUUUACCCGGGAUGAUAAUGACAGUACCGGGAGAAUAAGCUCCGGCUAACUCCGUG
rnacentral:rRNA from 1 species